rnacentral:ncRNA from 1 species
AAGAAUACGAUGACAGAGAGUAGUAAGCAAAAAGAGCUUCUUCAGAAAGCUGAUGGAUGAUGAGAAUCAGCGUAGAACUUUUGCCGAAUGGACUCUGGAGUGCUGUGCCCAACCAGACAUCUGUGAUAUGUAGGAUGCGUCUGUAGUAGGUAGGUCGGUGGUUCGCCGUUAUCCGAACACAUUCAAGAUUGGAAUAAGGAAAAUAGAGUGUACGAAGAUGCUCUAUAUUAUUUCGAUGAAUAAGGGUGGCACCACGGUCACACGUCCCUUGC